rnacentral:rRNA from 1 species
CCUACGGGAGGCUGCAGUCGAGAAUCAUUCACAAUGGGGGAAACCCUGAUGGUGCGACGCCGCGUGGGGGAAUGAAGGUCUUCGGAUUGUAAACCCCUGUCAUGUGGGCGCAAAUUAAAAAGAUAGUACCACAAGAGGAAGAGACUGCUAACUCUGUGCCAGCAGCCGCGGUAAUACAGAGGUCUCAAGAGUUGUUCGGAAUCACUGGACGUAAAGCGUGCGUAGGCUGUUUCGUAAGUCGUGUGUGAAAGGCGCGGGCUCAACCCGAGGACGGCACAUGAUACUGCGAGACUAGAGUAAGGGAGGGGGAACCGGAAUUCGCGGUGUAGCAGUGAAAUGCGUAGAUAUCGAGAGGAACACUCGUGGCGAAGGCGGGUUCCUGGACAUUAACUGACGCUGAGGCACGAAGGCCAGGGGAGCGAAAGGGAUUAGAUACCCGUGUAGUC